rnacentral:tRNA from 1 species
GCUUAGGAAGCAUUAGCGAUGAUAUUUGUAAUUCACUAUUUGGAAGAAUUCCUCUAAGCU